AUGGAGGAGGAGGAGGCCCUCGACUCCUUGCCGGGGGAGCACACGCUCGUCGCGGUGCUCCGCCGCCACGCCGAGACCGGCGAGCUCCCGGCGUGGGUCCACGAGGUGAACGUCUACGCUGCCAGCCCGGUCCUUCUCACCGCCGACCGCAAGAAGGUCAUCGCGGAGGACGGAUCCACCGCUUGGUUCUUCCUCUACACCCCCGCGCGCAAGGAGGGCUCAUCCUCCCGCUGCAGCCGCAAAGCGGGCGGCGCGACCUGGAUCGAGGAGCGAACCAGGCCCGUCGAGAAGGCCGGUGCCGACGGCGGCUGGGUCGUGAUCGGACACGCGAGUACCUUCACCUACGGCAAGCGGACAAAAGGCCCCGACAAGAAGAGGAGGACGGAGCGGCUCGGAUGGAUUCUCGUUGAGGUCCGCCUCCCAGGCGAGACGAUGUGCUGCGCCAAGCUCUACCGGUCGCCCAGGAAGACGUCUGCGGCCGCUCCUCCUCCUCCCGCGGCUCCUUCGGCCGCGGUGAACGCUCCUCCUCCUCCCGCGGCUCCAGAGGCCGCGGUGANNNNNNNNNNCCCAGCGCUGGCCGCGCCCGCACCUCCAGCACCAGCUCCAGUCCCAGCGCUGGCCGCGCCCGCACCUCCAGCCCCAGCGCUGGCAGUGCCCGUUCCUCCAGCCCCGGCACCAGCCCCGGUGGCUCCUCUGGCUCCAGCAGCACGCUCUCCCCCAGCUCCAGCAGCACACUCUCCGACGCCGGUGGCUCCUCCAGCACCCGCAGAUUCCAGUCCGGACAAGACCUGGGUAAACGUGCUGGUCUCCAAAUUCCCCACGAAGCUUAGUGACAAGGGCAUGUCGAAGCGGGUCCACAAGUUGCUCCUGCCCUCUGAAGGUGGCUUCGACUCUCCCCCCGCCAAGAGAAGGCUGCUCAGCUGCACUGGCUGGCUAAGCAUCAACACUCUCGAGGGAUCAGCUUAG
rnacentral:rRNA from 1 species